AAACAUAGCAACCUCGAAUGUGGAAAUUUCCAGGAGUAGAGACAAUUUACUCCACAUCAGACCUCCGUACUCUGGACAGAGGAGGGUGUCCAAGACCGGGCAGCCACCGGGGUCUGAGCUAAAUUCCUUCAUCACCGAGAAUCUUAGACCUUAAAUCAAGACCUGAAAGGCUGCCUGUCUAGGGUUGCCACAUUUAGCAAAUAAACAUCGAAGACAUCUACUGUAUUUGAAUUUCAGAACCAGUAGACCAGAAGCCACCGGGAUCAAAGACAUGAUGCUGAGGGGACCAGAGUCUUACCCCUUUCCUUCUACUCCAAACAUUAUGGGAACAAGGACCACAAGCGCCAUCUCUGCCAAGACAUACAUGGAGGGUGCCUUUUCACUUUCUUGGUAGUGUUCUUUAAAGCACAAAAUUUUAAAGUUUUGCUGAAGUUUAAUUUACUUAUUUUUUUCUUGUGUCAUUUGUGCUUUUGGUGUCAUAUCUAAGACAGCACUGCCUAGUCCAAGGUCACAAAGAUUUACGCCUGUGCUUUCCUCUAAGAGUUUCACAGUUUUGGGUCUUAUAUUUAGGCCUAUUAUCCAUUGUGAGUUAAUCUUUUACAUACUACAGUAUGAGAUCAGAGUCCAAAUUCAUUCAUUUAUAUAUGGAUAUCCAGUCGUCUGAGCACCAUUUGUUGAAAAGACUAUUUUUUCCCCAUCAAACGGUCUUGGCACCCUUGCUGAAAAUCAGUUAGCCAAAAAUGAGAAGGUUUAUUUCUGGACACUCAGUUCUAGUCCAUUGAGCUAUGUGUCUAUUCAUAUGCCAUUACCACACUAUUUUCAUUACUAUAGUUUUUGACUAGAUUUUGAAAUUAGGAAGCAUGAU